CUAAAUUUCAAUAUCUUCUACAAAUUAGCCGGAUUGACUUGAAGUGAAGUGGGUAGAUCGGAUCAACACAACAAAGCACACUAUCCAGAUCAAUUUCGGUAGCUUUUGUUUUAUGUUUGAAGAUUUAUAUGGCAUGUAUAGAGUUUAAAUGAAAUGAAGUAAAGAUGUUAUAAACUAGUUAACAACAUUUUGUACUAAAAUAGUUUUUGGUUAGUAGCAGUAGUCUGAGUUUGAAAAUUCACCAUAAAUCAUAAAAAUAUAAUUAUAGGUUGAAUAAAAUAUGAAAUUAAAUCUUAUUGAAUCUAGUUUCACAUAGAAGAAA